UACGGGGGGAGCAAGCGUUGUUCGGAUUUACUGGGCGUAAAGGGCGCGUAGGCGGCCAUUCAAGUCGGGGGUGAAAGCCUGUGGCUCAACCACAGAAUUGCCUUCGAUACUGUUUGGCUUGAGUUUGGUAGAGGUUGGUGGAACUGCGAGUGUAGAGGUGAAAUUCGAUAGAUAUUCGCAAGAACACCAGUGGCGAAGGCGGCCAACUGGACCAAUACUGACGCUGAGGCGGCGAAAGCGUUGGGGAGCAAACAGG
rnacentral:rRNA from 1 species